rnacentral:rRNA from 1 species
UACGUAGGUGGCAAGCGUUGUCCGGAUUUAUUGGGUUUAAAGGGUGCGUAGGCGGUUCGGUAAGUCGGGUGUGAAAACUCUGGGCUCAACCCAGAGCCGCCACUCGAUACUGCUGUGACUCGAGUGCGGUAGGGGAGCGGGGAAUUCCUGGUGUAGCGGUGAAAUGCGCAGAUAUCAGGAGGAACACCAGUGGCGAAGGCGCCGCUCUGGGCCGUGACUGACGCUGAGGAGCGAAAGCGUGGGUAGCAAACAGG